rnacentral:rRNA from 1 species
CGAAUAGGGGCAACCCUUAGUAGAGCGGCGCACGGGUGCGUAACACGUGGAUAAUCUGCCUGGAUGCCUGGGAUAACCAGUCGAAAGAUUGGCUAAUACCGGAUAAGCCCACGGUUUCUUCGGAGACUGAGGGAAAAGGUGGCCUCUGUAUACAAGCUAUCACAACCAGAUGAGUCCGCGGCCCAUCAGCUAGUUGGCGGGGUAAUGGCCCACCAAGGCGACGACGGGUAGCUGGUCUGAGAGGACGAUCAGCCACACUGGAACUGAGACACGGUCCAGACUCCUACGGGAGGCAGCAGUGGGGAAUUUUGCGCAAUGGGCGAAAGCCUGACGCAGCAACGCCGCGUGUGUGAUGAAGGUCUUUGGAUUGUAAAGCACUUUCGACCGGGACGAAACCGUAAAGCCUAAUACGCUUUGCCUUGACGGUACCGGGAGAAGAAGCACCGGCUAACUCUGUGCCAGCAGCCGCGGUAAUACAGAGGGUGCAAGCGUUGUUCGGAAUUAUUGGGCGUAAAGCGCGUGUAGGCGGCUUUGCAAGUCGGGUGUGAAAGCCCUCAGCUCAACUGAGGAAGUGCGCCCGAAACUGCAGAGCUUGAGUGCCGGAGAGGGUGGCGGAAUUCCCCAAGUAGAGGUGAAAUUCGUAGAUAUGGGGAGGAACACCGGUGGCGAAGGCGGCCACCUGGACGGUAACUGACGCUGAGACGCGAAAGCGUGGGUAGCAAACAGGAUUAGAUACCCUGGUAGUCCACGCCGUAAACGAUGAGAACUAGGUGUCGUGGGAGUUGACCCCCGCGGUGCCG